AGCACACCUCGCGAGACGCCGCAGCCGGCCCGCACUGCCGCCGCCGGCCGCAGUCCUCGGGCGCUCGCGCCGCCCGUCCUGCGCAGCCCCCAGGCACCCAGCCCUCCGCCUCGGCCGCGCGUCUUCCGGUCCUCGCCGGUCGCCCGGUCGCGCAGCGCGCCGUCCUCGCGGCAUCCCGCAGCGCUCGUCGCCGUCAGCCCACCCUGUCGCGGUUGCGGCCAGCCGUACAAUAAACCGAACUAGUUCACGGCUGUGGAAUGUGCACGCCCAUGGGAUUUUUUCGUGAUCUGCUACUGCUGACAUGCCCAGUCAUCUCAUCUCCCAUUUGGACAACCGUGCUGUUCAGCCAGCAUUGGCGGCAAGUCGUCUAGUCGUUGUGAAAUUUUGUACAUCCUCAGCACUUGAGAGAUCAGGAAAGCAAGGGCGUGGCAACAUUCACAAUGCAUUGAGGGUCUUGGACCUUGUUCCAACCAAGCAACAUUAUGGCGAAAAGGAAGUUCCAUCCCAUCACCGCCUUAUCAAUGAUUGUAUGUCUGACAUCCUGGGAGUUCAAUCAAAAUGGAAUAUUGUGCUUAAGAGAAAAGAAGACUUCAUUAACUCAAGCUCAAAUCAAUCACGACCUAAAGGCCGUAAUGUUGUCUCAAGUAGUAUCUCAGUUUGCCCUUCCAUUACUAGACUCACAAAGGAUGUGCUUGUGCAGAUAGUGGAGCUGCAUAGGAGAGGGGGCAUCAGUUCAGAUGCAUCUAUUUUGGCAUCUGCGCUGAGUGCCUGUGCUGAUAGGAAAACUCUUACUGGAGGUUCACAGCUUCAGGCUUUACUAGUGAAAGUAGGAUAUGACUCUGUCCUCGUUGGCAGCUCACUGAUCAGCUUUUAUUCAAGAUGUGGCCACUUGGAAAAUGCUCACCGGGUUUUCCAGAGCAUGACAGCGAAAAAUACAGUGUCAUGGACAGCGCUUAUUUCUGGUUAUGCCCAGGAUAAUCAGGUGGAGCCAUGUCUCCAUUUAUUUGCACUGAUGAGGCAGUCAAUGUGCAAGCAAAAUGAUGUCACAUUUGCAACUAUAUUCAGAGUGUGCACUAACCAUGCAUUUCUUGCACUUGGUAAAAGUGUUCAAGGCCUACAAAUGAAAAUGGGUUUCGAUUCUUAUGUGCAUGUAUCCAACGCAUUGAUAUCAAUGUAUGCGAAGUGUGGGAGUAUUGUUGAAGCUCAAGCCAUAUUUGAGAGCAUUGCCUGCAAAGAUGUUGUCUCUUGGAACUCCAUGAUUUUUGGAUAUUCACAGCAUGGACAUGCUGAGCAUUGCCUAGACUUGCUGAAAGAAAUGGAAGGGCACAUAAUGCCGGAUGCGAUAUCCUUCCUAGAUGUGCUUUCGUCAUGCCGUCAUGCAUGCCUUGUAACGGAAGGCCGACGCUGCUUCAGGGCAAUGAUUGAACAUGGAAUAAAACCGGAGCUGGAUCAUUACUCAUGUAUGGUUGAUCUCCUUGGCCGUGCAGGGCUGCUGGAUGAAGCUUGGGAUCUGAUCCAGACUAUGUCCAUGCCUCCAAAUGGUGUCAUAUGGAGCUCCCUGCUAGCUUCCUGUAGGCUGCACGGAAGCGUUUUGAUUGGCAUACAGGCUGCAGAGCACCGUCUCAAGCUUGAACCUGGUUGUGCCGCAACUCAUGUGCAGCUAGCGAAUUUGUAUGCAAGCAUUGGCUGCUGGAGUGAUGUGGCAAGAGUAAGAAAGGUGAUGAAGGAGAGAGGGCUGAAAACGAACAUUGGGUGCAGUUGGAUAGAAGUUGGCAAUAAAGUUUAUACUUUUACAGCAGAAAACAGAUCAAAGGGCCAGGUCAACGAUGUUCUGGCUAUUCUUGAUUGCUUGCAGUCCCAUAUGGAUCACAAGUAUGAUGUAUUGAUUGAUGGUCUGGAUUGGGAUGAUCCUGAGCGUAUCAUGCUGAACUUUAACAAUAUAUAAAUUUAAAAGAUCAUGGCUUUGCCAUGUUCAACUGCAUAUGAAGAGGAGGCACUCUAUAGGAAAUGUCAAGUGUCACUCGCACAAAUGUCUGGUCAACAAUCCUCGAUGUAACAUGGUCUGAGUCCAUAAUUCCAUGAAAAGCCAAUGUAAAGUACAUCUGUUGCCAAUUGCCAUUCCAAGAUGACAUUUUAGACCCCAAGAAUAAAAUAAUAUUGUUGAGGUGAUAUGAAUGUUGUGAUGAUGUCAGGUUUUUUCCAUACCAUGUAAUCAUCGUCAGACAACAUUUACCACAACACUCAUGGAGGUACAGAGAUUUCUGAAAAGGAUGUCAUGGUGAUCUGCAACCAGGGUUGAAGGCUUGACACAUAAAACUGAGGAAAUAUAAUGCUUUUGGACCUUUUCGAGACUCGUCAAUGUGCCAAAGAACCCCAGGGACAAGGGGAAGAAAUCAUCACAGACGCCUAGAGAAUUUUGGAUCAUGAAAUAUGCCGAAUCAGUUGGAUGUAGGAUGGCUCUAUAGAAGUUAUGAUUCUGCAAGGUGGAAUGAUCAUUGCUGUGAGUAGGAAGAUGUGAAUAUGAAGAAUUAUGCACCUGGAUCUGCAUCUCCGCCGCUUCUGCUUACCCUUCCCAUUUUCCCCUCGUGUGUUUUGUUUCGCCCAUGCCAAAACUGCAAUAGUCAACAGAAAACCAUUUUGUUUAUACACGUGGGUGCUUUUGCGUGAAGCACUUAGUGUUAGGUUGUUUUACCUUCAGAUAUAAAAUAACAAAAAAAAUCACAUUUUCUUCUAAGCGAAAAUUAUAUAAAAAAUAAUUCUUAAAUUUGUUCAUAAGUCGCUCCUUCACUUUUGUUGAUUAGACUGCUCUACGACCAUUGUGUC